UCACUUGUUAGUACUCCGUCCUCGUCAC
rnacentral:piRNA from 1 species